AGAGUUUGAUCCUGGCUCAGGAUGAACGCUAGCGGCAGGCUUAACACAUGCAAGUCGAAGGGCAGCGAGGGGAGUGCUUGCACUCCCUGUCGGCGACUGGCGCACGGGUGAGUAACACGUAUGCAACCUGCCCUCCACAGGGGGACAACCUUCCGAAAGGGAGGCUAAUCCCGCGUAAAUCCCCCGGAGGCAUCUCCGGGGGAGGAAAACUCCGGUGGUGGAGGAUGGGCAUGCGGCGCAUUAGGCAGUCGGCGGGGUAACGGCCCACCGAACCGACGAUGCGUAGGGGUUCUGAGAGGAAGGUCCCCCACACUGGUACUGAGACACGGACCAGACUCCUACGGGAGGCAGCAGUGAGGAAUAUUGGUCAAUGGACGCGAGUCUGAACCAGCCAAGCCGCGUGAAGGAUUAAGGCCCUACGGGUCGUAAACUUCUUUUGCCAGGGAACAAAAGUGGGGACGUGUCCCCAUCUGCGUGUACCUGAAGAAAAAGCAUCGGCUAACUCCGUGCCAGCAGCCGCGGUAAUACGGAGGAUGCGAGCGUUAUCCGGAUUUAUUGGGUUUAAAGGGUGCGCAGGCGGUCUGUUAAGUCAGCGGUAAAAUUGCGGGGCUCAACCCCGUACAGCCGUUGAAACUGCCGGGCUCGAGUGGGCGAGAAGUAUGCGGAAUGCGUGGUGUAGCGGUGAAAUGCAUAGAUAUCACGCAGAACCCCGAUUGCGAAGGCAGCAUACCGGCGCCCGACUGACGCUGAGGCACGAAAGUGCGGGGAUCAAACAGGAUUAGAUACCCUGGUAGUCCGCACAGUAAACGAUGAAUGCUAGCUGUCCGGGGGGAUUGACCCCUGGGUGGCACAGCGAAAGCGUUAAGCAUUCCACCUGGGGAGUACGCCGGCAACGGUGAAACUCAAAGGAAUUGACGGGGGCCCGCACAAGCGGAGGAACAUGUGGUUUAAUUCGAUGAUACGCGAGGAACCUUACCCGGGCUCAAACGCCGAAGGGACAUUCCCCGAAAGGGGAUUGGCCAGCAAUGGUCUUCGGCGAGGUGCUGCAUGGUUGUCGUCAGCUCGUGCCGUGAGGUGUCGGCUUAAGUGCCAUAACGAGCGCAACCCCCACCGACAGUUGCUAACUGGUCAAGCAGAGGACUCUGUCGGGACUGCCGGCGCAAGCUGCGAGGAAGGCGGGGAUGACGUCAAAUCAGCACGGCCCUUACGUCCGGGGCGACACACGUGUUACAAUGGCAGGUACAGCGGGAUGCCAUGGGGCGACCCAGAGCGGAACCCGAAAACCUGUCUCAGUUCGGAUUGGAGUCUGCAACUCGACUCCAUGAAGCUGGAUUCGCUAGUAAUCGCGCAUCAGCCAUGGCGCGGUGAAUACGUUCCCGGGCCUUGCACUCACCGCCCGUCA
rnacentral:rRNA from 1 species